rnacentral:rRNA from 1 species
UACGUAGGGGGCAAGCGUUGUCCGGAUUUAUUGGGCGUAAAGAGCGUGUAGGCGGCCAGACAGGUCCGUUGUGAAAACUCGAGGCUCAACCUCGAGAUGUCGAUGGAAACCGUCUGGCUAGAGUCCGGAAAAGGAGUGUGGAAUUCCUGGUGUAGCGGUGAAAUGCGCAGAUAUCAGGAAGAACACCUAUGGCGAAGGCAGCACUCUGGGACGGUACUGACGCUGAGACGCGAAAGCGUGGGGAGCGAACAGG